UUAAAAAUUGAAGGACUAACCUUUUCUUCUAUGUCCGUAACCCGUAUGCCACCGAAAGGAAAAUCUGAAGCCAGUAUUGGGUUUCUUCCUCAAUUAUUCUUCCGCAAUUCUUAUCAUUACUCACUUUCAUCGUGCCAAAUUCAUUUCCGUAUGUACACAGAAAAUUCAAAGCACUUAACUUUUUUCCAAUUCCGUAAUUUACUUGAUUAGGUUAGAAAAAUUUAAGACUAAAACUAUAAUUAAUCUUCUCAGCUCCCCAAUUGUCUUGCUUUUCUGUUUUCUUUCUUUCUUUGGGAUUUGUAUGUCUUCUGUCACGUUUUGUGACUUCUUCUCUUAAUCAAUUAUGAUUGUUUUGUGACUUCUUCUCUUCAUCAAAAUUAUGAACUUUUCUGUUAAAAGAAAAGAAAACAUUAUUGCUCAUUUACUGUUUGAUAAAAUGUCUCAAGGAAGUAAUUGUAUUUGAGUUCAGUUUUGGGAUUUUAAAGAGUUUUUGUCAGAUGACUUUUGUGGAUUUAAGGUUUUAGAGUAAUGGGUUUUCAUAAGAGAGAAUAAUUUUUCUGCACAUUUGAAUAUAUAUACGUUAUUUUCAAAAAAUUGUGAAAUCAUCAGGUGUAUGUUUUGAUGAAAAGAAUUGUGAGCUCAUCGAGUGUAUGUUUUGAUGAAAAAUGUGCACUUUGGAUGCGCUAGAAGCCUAGACCCAUAUAAUGGUCUGAAACUAAUUCUUAAGGAAUGAAAACAACAACAAAAAAUAAAGAAAGGUAAGUUUACACUAGCACCACUGUUCCUGUGUUUUCUUUCCUAUAGAUAUGUCUUUAUUUAAACACUGCAUGAGUUCAAGGUAAAAACAUGUCAAAUGGUGCCUAAAAUCCUGUUCGGAAUGAAAAAAGAACAGAGAAGGUGUAAACUGUUGAAAAAUAUUCUUGAUAAAUCGACUUACGGAAGUUCUCGGGUCGACGUAGUCUAGAACUGAUUUUGAUGGAUAGUUAGAGGUAGAAUAGACUUCCAGAAGUGUGAUACUUCUCUAAAACUGCUGAAUAUGUUACACUUUGGCUGGACUUAGUGCACCCAUGGUUGGGUAUAUAAGGAUGCAUUUUUUUAAUUUCCACAAUUCAGUACUGCACCGCAUGCAUCCUAGUAUUCCGAAGUUAAGAAUCUUCGGUAAAGUAUAUAUAAAAUUACUGAGAUAGUGUAAAGCUGAAUAAUCAUGAUAUCUUUACUGCGACUAUCAUCUCUAGAAAAUAAGUUGCAGGUUGCAAGAUUAUACUCCACAAUCUUUUAAACAAAACUGUCAUAUUGUUGUUAUCACCAUUGAAGUUCUUAUUUUCCUUUUUGAAAGACAGGUGUACUUACUUAGGUUGUUUGAUGUGGUAGAGUCUAAUAUCAGCAAACACUUUACCGUAGUUGGAAGAACUAUAUUGAGAGCAAUUCCUUAUAAUUCCCAGUUUGAUUUUCUUAGUUUUUGAACUUUCUUUUCUAAGGUCUAUGAAGUUACAUGUUUGGUUAGUUUGUUCUUCUGCAUUAUGUUUGAAGAGACUUAAUACUUUUGGAUCUUAACGUCAUAUCAAAUUUGCAAAAUUUGGGUGAUUCUAAGUCUGCCAGUGUAGUUUGUUAUGUUCAAUUCCUCUCAUCACUAAUAUACUUUUUGAAUCUAUGCACGCAGAUCAUUGGAGAACCGUGCAGAUACCCAAUUUAAUUUGUAUGACCAUCUGGAUAGAAUAACCAUUUUAAUUUAUAUGGCUAUAAAACAUCUUACCCAAUUUAUUUUAUAGUACCUUCUUAGUAUGGUACCCAAUAAUUUUUUUUUUGUAGAGUACCCAAUCUAUUUUAUAUGAUCGUCUGAAACAUAUUAUAUGUUUAUUUUCCCAUGCUAUUUGUUGUUUGGGGAGAAUGUUUUAUGAAGAAAUGUUAUGAUAUCAUUAAUUCCUAAUCAUAUCCGGCUACACCUCCAACACAACUGGCCAAUACGUAGACCAGAUUCAGACCCCUUACCCCCAGUGAUCGAUCCAAGUGUUACCAUGACGACUGUCGAAGAAAAGCUUGGUUGUAACCUGUGCUGAUGUUGGUGUAUGUAAAGAGCAUAUUGAGAAGAUGCGAGAGGUUGUUGAACUGCCCAUGCUUCAUCCUGAGAAAUUGGUCAAGCUGGGAAUUGAUCCCCGUAAGGGUGUUCUCUGCUAUGGACCACCUGGCACUGGCGAAACAUUACGAGCUUGAGCUGUAGCUAACCGUGCAGAUACCCAAUUUAAUUUGUGUCAAUGGACGUGUUCCCAUAUAAGGAUGUUUCAGAUUCAAGGAAAACAUAUAAUUCGCACUUUCCUUAUAAUAUGAAGAUUAUGGAGAAGAGCAUGGGGUGUUUCUAAAUGGUGCUGCCCAUUGGUUAGUAGCUCCGACGAACGAAUAUCGACCACCACGAGUUUUAAUUUCUUUGGAUACGGAAGACGGGGUAUUCGAAGAAGUACCACAACCUCAACAUAUGGACAAUUUCAAGUGUAAGUUUGUCGAUGUGUUGAGUGGUUGCCUUUGUUUGCCAUGUAGUGUUCCUAAUGCUAGUUUUGAGAUAUGGGAGAUGAAAGAUUAUGGAGUGAGAGAGAGUUGGUCUAAAGUGUUCAGAACCGACUGUCGCGAUGAGCAUUCCAUCUUUUUCAUAAGGAAAGCUGUAUUAUCUGAAAAUCCUAUCAGAGAUCAACAACAAGGACCGUUGUUUAUUUAGAGAUGGGAGUAUUGAUGCUGUGAAAAUCCACUUGGAAGAGAAGAAAGGGUAUGAAUACAUUAAGAAUAUCAAACAGAUGUAGGCUUACGUGGAGAGUCUAGUUUCAGUUAA